GAUGAACGCUAGCGGGAGGCCUAACACAUGCAAGCCGAGCGGUAUUGUUUCUUCGGAAAUGAGAGAGCGGCGUACGGGUGCGGAACACGUGUGCAACCUGCCUUUAUCUGGGGGAUAGCCUUUCGAAGGAAGAUUAAUACUCCAUACUAUAUUGAACGGCAUCGUUUAAUAUUUAAAGCUCCGGCGGAUAGAGAUGGGCACACGCAAGAUUAGCUAGUUGGUGAGGUAACGGCUCACCAAGGCGAUGAUCUUUAGGGGGCCUGAGAGGGUGAUCCCCCACACUGGUACUGAGACACGGACCAGACUCCUACGGGAGGCAGCAGUGAGGAAUAUUGGUCAAUGGGUGCAAGCCUGAACCAGCCAUCCCGCGUGAAGGACGACUGCCCUAUGGGUUGUAAACUUCUUUUGUAUAGGGAUAAACCUACCCUCGUGAGGGUAGCUGAAGGUACUAUACGAAUAAGCACCGGCUAACUCCGUGCCAGCCGCCGCAGUAAAAC
rnacentral:rRNA from 1 species